CUGAUGCAUCCUAAAAUGGUAAUGAUUUCUAGUAAGUCAAUAUCAUGGCUUUCCAGAUAACAUCUCUAAAUGUACCCAGCCUUAAAGAAGAGAAGUUAGAUUGACGAGGUUCUACUUUCCGCCAAGAAGAUUUUAUAGCUCCCUCCUAUGAACACCAAAGGUCUUGGACAUACUUGGAGUCAAGUUAAAGUGAACCUUGUCCUGGAAAUUCAGGCCCACACAGAGCUCAGUGGUGGAACGCGUGGAAUGGCAAAGGUGGCAAAGGCAGGUGGUAACCACUGUGCUAAACACCGGGAUGAAAAUAAAGCAGCAUUAGACAUGUUUCUGGCUGCUCACAUUGUAUGUCUCAAGAUGAAACUUCUGUGAUCCGACACUGAUUGGCGAAUGAACAGAACAGAAACAGUUUUGGACUUCAUGAGAUUUUGACACUACAGCAGUAAGGGGGUAAAAACGUGAGUUGGUCAGUUUAGACGUCCUCAUUCACAUGCAAUGGGUAGAAAUCCUGCCAUUUCCACAGUAUUAAUAGCCACUCUCCAAUAACUGGUUUUUUCUAAUUGUGACAAGUUGUAACAAGACAAGAUGGAGGCACACAAGUGGCUGUGCCAGAGGGUUAAAUGUAUAAGGAAUGGGGUAAACGGAUUAUGAUGGGGAUUCUUAUGUCCAACUUCACUUAAUGAAGGAUCCUGAUCAGAAUCAAAUACAUAUGAUGCUUCAUG